UCCUUGUGUGUAUCUUUGGCAUGUGAGCUUCAUUGGUUGUCUUUUGGUGCUAGGAUUUGAGUUUGGAUCAAGUGAAGGCUUGGAAGGGUGAAGAAAACCAUUGAGGGUUAACCUAGGGUCUUGUGGCUUCCCUUGAGGGCACAAGGGAGUCGACAAGGGCUUAUGGAAGGCCUCACGUCCUCCCUUGCAAGUGAAAGAAAGCCCGUGAAGCCAUCUAGUGAGGCUUCAUGGCCUCCCUUUCGGCCGUGAAGCAACCCGUGAAGCCCCCCGAUGCUAGCAUCUUCUAAGGUCUUCUAGGGCUUUAAAAGGCCCAUUAUUGCCCUUUCUUUUGCCUCUUCUUCUCAUUAUUCUUUCUCCCUUCUCUUCUCCUCUUUAGAACUUCUUUUUCCACUAUUUAAUUCUCUCUCACCUUGUCUUUGAUUGGAGUUAGAAGUUUAGAGACCUCAUCCCUCUCCUCUUGUGAUGAUUUACCUUGAGUUUUAAGGAGCUUGAAGGAGGUGAAGCGUUGCCUCAUGGCAAAGAGGUAGCUGAGGAUUAGCUUUCAAGGAAGAGAAAUCAUCAAUUUAGUGAGUGGGAUAAUUAAGCAUGACCCUAUAGGAAGAUUACCAAUAUUUAUAUGCUUAUAUAUACUCUAUCUUUCUUAAUGAAAUUUUGUCGGUUUCAUGAUUGAAAUUGAGAUGUUUAUUGC